CAGCAGCCACGGGAAUACAGAGGGUGCGAGCGUUAAUCGGAUUUACUGGGCGUAAAGCGUGCGUAGGCGGCUUCUUAAGUCGGAUGUGAAAUCCCUGAGCUUAACUUAGGAAUUGCAUUCGAUACUGGGAAGCUAGAGUAUGGGAGAGGAUGGUAGAAUUCCAGGUGUAGCGGUGAAAUGCGUAGAGAUCUGGAGGAAUACCGAUGGCGAAGGCAGCCAUCUGGCCUAAUACUGAUGCUGAGGUACGAAAGCAUGGGGAGCAAACAGGAUUAGAUACCCCCGUAGUCCCUGUCUCUUAUAC
rnacentral:rRNA from 1 species